UCCGGUUUAACACCGGCAGUCUCCAUAGAGUGCCCAACUAAAUGAUGGCAACUAGGGAUAGGGGUUGCGCUCGUUAAGGGACUUAACCCGACAUCUCACGAUACGAGCUGACGACAGCCAUGCAGCACCUAAACCACAGGCCCCCGAAGGGGAAGCCGUAUCUCUACGGUUGUCCUGUGUUGUCUAACCCAGGUAAGGUUCUUCGCGUUGCAUCGAAUUAAACCACAUGCUCCACCGCUUGUGCGGGCCCCCGUCAAUUCCUUUGAGUUUUAAUCUUGCGACCGUACUUCCCAGGCGGGGUACUUAAUGCGUUAGCGUCGGCACUGCAGGGGUCAAUUCCCGCAACACCUAGUACCCAUCGUUUACGGCGUGGACUAC
rnacentral:misc_RNA from 1 species